rnacentral:lncRNA from 1 species
CUGGUUCAUUAUAAACUGAAGCUGUUCUACCUCGUGUGGUUUUUGUCUAGCAAGAAUAAAUGUGUUAAGUGCUGUACGUCUAAUGCUGUCUGCAGUACUGCCAGCUGUUCCAAGACUGCAUGGAUCUGGAAGUCAUAAUCUUGCCUGGAAUAUAAAAUGCAUGCAGACUACGUAUGCAUGUGUAACUGUCAUCUCUGUUUUCCUGUAGAAAUAUUUUAGAAAUUACAUAGAUAUGCUCCCCCCCAAAAAAAAAACGAAAAACUUUUUUUUAAGUUUCAAAAGUUGAGGUUAAAGCUAAAAUGUGUCUCUAAGGCAAACACCAAACCAGUUCUGGGGUCUUUCCAGUGUCAUGGUGCGCAAACCGCUGUGCUAGGUCUCAGGCCUUUGUUGAAUCCAGGAAGGGUUUGCAAAACCGUAGGAUGAGAUGGACUGGAGAUGAAUGCAGAGAGAUUAAAGACAGCUCAAAUUUUCAAUAAGGAGAAAGGUAUCGAUGUGCCCCUACUUGCUAGAAACAUUUCAUGUGAUGCAGUAUGUGAUCGAUCCGUCGGUCGUGUGUACAGUUGCAUCAGCGCAUUGACGCAGGUGGAUGGGCGGCCCGGCCUGAAAUGCACUAACGCCGCCCCUGUCGCCCGCAGCCAGAAGCUCAGCUUCAAGGAGCGCGU